UACGGAGGGUGCGAGCGUUGUCCGGAAUCAUUGGGCGUAAAGGGCGCGUAGGUGGCCCGGUCAGUCAGUGGUGAAAGCGCGGGGCUCAACUCCGCGUCGGCCAUUGAUACUGCUGGGCUGGAGCACUGUAGAGGCAGGCGGAAUUCCGGGUGUAGCGGUGAAAUGCGUAGAUAUCUGGAGGAACACCGGUGGCGAAGGCGGCAUCCUGGACCGGCAUUGACGCUGAGGCGCGAAAGCCAGGGGAGCAAACGGG
rnacentral:rRNA from 1 species